GACGAACGCUGGCGGCGUGCCUAAUACAUGCAAGUAGGACGCUGAAGGAGGAGCUUGCUUCUCCGGAUGAGUUGCGAACGGGUGAGUAACGCGUAGGUAACCUGCCUGGUAGCGGGGGAUAACUAUUGGAAACGAUAGCUAAUACCGCAUAACAGUAGAUAUCGCAUGAUAUCUGCUUGAAAGGUGCAAUUGCAUCACUACCAGAUGGACCUGCGUUGUAUUAGCUAGUUGGUGAGGUAACGGCUCACCAAGGCGACGAUACAUAGCCGACCUGAGAGGGUGAUCGGCCACACUGGGACUGGGACACGGCCCAGACUCCUACGGGAGGCAGCAGUAGGGAAUCUUCGGCAAUGGACGGAAGUCUGACCGAGCAACGCCGCGUGAGUGAAGAAGGUUUUCGGAUCGUAAAGCUCUGUUGUAAGAGAAGAACGAGUGUGAGAGUGGAAAGUUCACACUGUGACGGUAUCUUACCAGAAAGGGACGGCUAACUACGUG
rnacentral:rRNA from 1 species